GUGGGGAAUAUUGGACAAUGGGCGAAAGCCUGAUCCAGCCAUGCCGCGUGUGUGAAGAAGGUCUUCGGAUUGUAAAGCACUUUAAGUUGGGAGGAAGGGCAGUAAGUUAAUACCUUGCUGUUUUGACGUUACCGACAGAAUAAGCACCGGCUAACUUCGUGCCAGCAGCCGCGGUAAUACGAAGGGUGCAAGCGUUAAUCGGAAUUACUGGGCGUAAAGCGCGCGUAGGUGGUUUUGUAAGUUGGAAGUGAAAUCCCCGGGCUCAACCUGGGAACUGCAUCCGAAACUGCAUGGCUAGAGUACGGUAGAGGGUAGUGGAAUUUCCUGUGUAGCGGUGAAAUGCGUAGAUAUAGGAAGGAACACCAGUGGCGAAGGCGACUACCUGGACUGAUACUGACACUGAGGUGCGAAAGCGUGGGGAGCAAACAGGAUUAGAACCCCUAGUAGUCC
rnacentral:rRNA from 1 species